GCCGGGCGUGGUGGUGCACGCCUGUAGUCCUAGCUACUUGGGAGGCUGAGGCAGGAGAAUCGCUUGAACCCAGGAGGCAGAGGUUGCAGUGAGCUGAAAUCACACCACUGCACUCCAACCUGGGUGACAGAGCGAGACUCCAUCUCAA
rnacentral:SRP_RNA from 1 species